CUGGUGUUAUGGAUACAAGCCCCUGUCUUACUUCACGAAGCUUCAUAGGACAGCAAAAACGUGAAACAUGAUGAAAUCUAACAGUAAGAUCAAAUGAAAUCUUAGAGAACACUGUAAGAAAGAGCUAUUCUUCCUCUGACACAUAGAUACACGCACUAAAUAAAAGCAAUGUGGCUCGCCCAGACUAACCAUGUAAAGUAUUAAGAAGACAUUUUUAAGAAUGACAGGGUAUGUGAUUAAUGAUUAUGUUGGGACAGCAUGCAUCAACACAGGCUGCCCCAGGCAGCCCAGACACAUGGCUACGGAGUGACAAUCACCUGUGAUAAACCUAGCUUAUGAGUUCGUGUUUUCAAGAUGGGCCCUGAGAGGUCACAGUCAGGAAACAACCUAUUCCAUGUGACGUGUAUCUUUUAACACAUAAUUACCUGUAUUGUAUUUGGAGACACCAAUCCUUUUUUUCGUACUUUCAUAUGCACCUCCCUCAAUUUAUGUCUUAUUAAAUUCCCUUUAUUUUCUAUUUUUUCAUUUUGUUUCUCUCUUAUACUUCCACAAAUACAACUUAGUAAUAGUAUUUCACCCUUCCAACCAGGUAUUAUUUAGAGAUAGAACAAAGAUUCUUAGAGUAGAAUUUCUUAUCACGUGACAUAUAAAUUUGCAUUUUCAAAAGCAGAUAUAAAUUCAGGAUCUCUUAUUUCCCAAAUACACAACUAUGGAGACCUAGUAUAAAUUCUCAAAUUAUACAAAAAAGAAAUAUUAACACAACCAGACUUCCUGAUAUCUUGAGAAAGCUGGAAUUCCUAAGGAAAAAUACUUUUGGAGCUAAAACCAACCUUAGUAAUCACCUUGUGCAGCUUACCUGUUAAAAUUUUCACUCACUUUCUGGGAUCUUAGAAAAGUCAUUGAAAAGGAAACCCUGGUUUAAAAGAGCAGCUUUUAAUGGAUACAGCACACUUGGAGGGAUUGCUGAGUUCUGUGAUGUGAACUGUUUGCUUAGGAAUUGCCUUGUUGUUUCACUACCAGAGGACUUAGAUUCAGAUCAGAACUGGAACACAGAAAACACCAGAAUUGCAGCAUUACGGGGAAGCAACCCAUCAUUGAGGGGAUCUGCAAAGGACCCCAUUUGUUUGUCUUUAACACAGGGUUAAUGAGAUUCACCUACCUGAUAAGAAUGGUAAGUAACACCUAAUAAAAGUUACCACGGCUGGACUCAGUGGCUCAUGCCUGUAAUCUCAGAGCCUUGGGAGGCAGAGGCAGGUGGAUCACCUGAGGUCGGGAGUUCAAGACUAGCCUGGCCAACAAGGUGAAACCCCGUCUCUACUAAAACUUUAAAAUCUUAGCUGGGUGUGGUGGCAUAUGCCCAUAGUCCCAGCUAGUAGGGAGGCUGAGGCAGGAGAACUACUUGAACCCAGAAGGCGGAAGUUGCAGUGAGCCAAGAUCUUGCUAUUGCACUCCAGCCUAGGCGACAGAGCAAGACUCUGUCUCAAAAGAAAAAAAAAGUUAUUAUAGACAAAAUAUCUGCAUA
ensembl:lncRNA